rnacentral:rRNA from 1 species
UACGUAGGGUGCGAGCGUUAAUCGGAAUUACUGGGCGUAAAGCGUGCGUAGGCGGCUCGGUAAGUUCGUUGUGAAAGCUCUGGGCUCAACCUGGGAAUGGCAAUGGAAACUGGCGGGCUGGAGUAUGGCAGAGGGGGGUGGAAUUCCGCGUGUAGCAGUGAAAUGCGUAGAGAUGCGGAGGAACACCGAUGGCGAAGGCAGCCCCCUGGGCCAAUACUGACGCUCAGGCACGAAAGCGUGGGGAGCAAACAGG